UCCGAGUUGACCCCGGCAGUCUCCUAGAGUCCCCGGCAUAACCCGCUGGCAACAUAGGACAAGGGUUGCGCUCGUUGCGGGACUUAACCCAACAUCUCACGACACGAACUGACGACGGCCAUGCAGCACCUGUCUUACAGUUCCCGAAGGCACCAAUCCAUCUCUGGAAAGUUCUGUAGAUGUCAAGGCCAGGUAAGGUUCUUCGCGUUGCGUCGAAUUGAACCACAUGCUCCACCGCUUGUGCGAGCCCCCGUCAAUUCCUUUGAGUUUUAACCUUGCGGCCGUACUCCCCAGGCGGAGGACUUAAUGCGUUAGCUGCAGCAGAGAGAACCGAAAUCCCCUCCACUUAGUCCUCAUCGUUUACGGCUAGGACUAC
rnacentral:misc_RNA from 1 species